rnacentral:rRNA from 1 species
GGGUUGUGAGGUUAAGCGACUAAGCGUACACGGUGGAUGCCCUGGCAGUCAGAGGCGAUGAAGGACGUGCUAAUCUGCGAUAAGCGUCGGUAAGGUGAUAUGAACCGUUAUAACCGGCGAUUUCCGAAUGGGGAAACCCAGUGUGUUUCGACACACUAUCAUUAACUGAAUCCAUAGGUUAAUGAGGCGAACCGGGGGAACUGAAACAUCUAAGUACCCCGAGGAAAAGAAAUCAACCGAGAUUCCCCCAGUAGCGGCGAGCGAACGGGGAGCAGCCCAGAGCCUGAAUCAGUGUGUGUGUUAGUGGAAGCGUCUGGAAAGGCGCGCGAUACAGGGUGACAGCCCCGUACACAAAAAUGCACAUGCUGUGAGCUCGAUGAGUAGGGCGGGACACGUGGUAUCCUGUCUGAAUAUGGGGGGACCAUCCUCCAAGGCUAAAUACUCCUGACUGACCGAUAGUGAACCAGUACCGUGAGGGAAAGGCGAAAAGAACCCCGGCGAGGGGAGUGAAAAAGAACCUGAAACCGUGUACGUACAAGCAGUGGGAGCACAGAGCAAUCUGUGUGACUGCGUACCUUUUGUAUAAUGGGUCAGCGACUUAUAUUCUGUAGCAAGGUUAACCGAAUAGGGGAGCCGAAGGGAAACCGAGUCUUAACUGGGCGUUAAGUUGCAGGGUAUAGACCCGAAACCCGGUGAUCUAGCCAUGGGCAGGUUGAAGGUUGGGUAACACUAACUGGAGGACCGAACCGACUAAUGUUGAAAAAUUAGCGGAUGACUUGUGGCUGGGGGUGAAAGGCCAAUCAAACCGGGAGAUAGCUGGUUCUCCCCGAAAGCUAUUUAGGUAGCGCCUCGUGAAUUCAUCUCCGGGGGUAGAGCACUGUUUCGGCAAGGGGGUCAUCCCGACUUACCAACCCGAUGCAAACUGCGAAUACCGGAGAAUGUUAUCACGGGAGACACACGGCGGGUGCUAACGUCCGUCGUGAAGAGGGAAACAACCCAGACCGCCAGCUAAGGUCCCAAAGUCAUGGUUAAGUGGGAAACGAUGUGGGAAGGCCCAGACAGCCAGGAUGUUGGCUUAGAAGCAGCCAUCAUUUAAAGAAAGCGUAAUAGCUCACUGGUCGAGUCGGCCUGCGCGGAAGAUGUAACGGGGCUAAACCAUGCACCGAAGCUGCGGCAGCGACGCUUAUGCGUUGUUGGGUAGGGGAGCGUUCUGUAAGCCUGCGAAGGUGUGCUGUGAGGCAUGCUGGAGGUAUCAGAAGUGCGAAUGCUGACAUAAGUAACGAUAAAGCGGGUGAAAAGCCCGCUCGCCGGAAGACCAAGGGUUCCUGUCCAACGUUAAUCGGGGCAGGGUGAGUCGACCCCUAAGGCGAGGCCGAAAGGCGUAGUCGAUGGGAAACAGGUUAAUAUUCCUGUACUUGGUGUUACUGCGAAGGGGGGACGGAGAAGGCUAUGUUGGCCGGGCGACGGUUGUCCCGGUUUAAGCGUGUAGGCUGGUUUUCCAGGCAAAUCCGGAAAAUCAAGGCUGAGGCGUGAUGACGAGGCACUACGGUGCUGAAGCAACAAAUGCCCUGCUUCCAGGAAAAGCCUCUAAGCAUCAGGUAACAUCAAAUCGUACCCCAAACCGACACAGGUGGUCAGGUAGAGAAUACCAAGGCGCUUGAGAGAACUCGGGUGAAGGAACUAGGCAAAAUGGUGCCGUAACUUCGGGAGAAGGCACGCUGAUAUGUAGGUGAAGUCCCUCGCGGAUGGAGCUGAAAUCAGUCGAAGAUACCAGCUGGCUGCAACUGUUUAUUAAAAACACAGCACUGUGCAAACACGAAAGUGGACGUAUACGGUGUGACGCCUGCCCGGUGCCGGAAGGUUAAUUGAUGGGGUUAGCGCAAGCGAAGCUCUUGAUCGAAGCCCCGGUAAACGGCGGCCGUAACUAUAACGGUCCUAAGGUAGCGAAAUUCCUUGUCGGGUAAGUUCCGACCUGCACGAAUGGCGUAAUGAUGGCCAGGCUGUCUCCACCCGAGACUCAGUGAAAUUGAACUCGCUGUGAAGAUGCAGUGUACCCGCGGCAAGACGGAAAGACCCCGUGAACCUUUACUAUAGCUUGACACUGAACAUUGAGCCUUGAUGUGUAGGAUAGGUGGGAGGCUUUGAAGUGUGGACGCCAGUCUGCAUGGAGCCGACCUUGAAAUACCACCCUUUAAUGUUUGAUGUUCUAACGUUGACCCGUAAUCCGGGUUGCGGACAGUGUCUGGUGGGUAGUUUGACUGGGGCGGUCUCCUCCUAAAGAGUAACGGAGGAGCACGAAGGUUGGCUAAUCCUGGUCGGACAUCAGGAGGUUAGUGCAAUGGCAUAAGCCAGCUUGACUGCGAGCGUGACGGCGCGAGCAGGUGCGAAAGCAGGUCAUAGUGAUCCGGUGGUUCUGAAUGGAAGGGCCAUCGCUCAACGGAUAAAAGGUACUCCGGGGAUAACAGGCUGAUACCGCCCAAGAGUUCAUAUCGACGGCGGUGUUUGGCACCUCGAUGUCGGCUCAUCACAUCCUGGGGCUGAAGUAGGUCCCAAGGGUAUGGCUGUUCGCCAUUUAAAGUGGUACGCGAGCUGGGUUUAGAACGUCGUGAGACAGUUCGGUCCCUAUCUGCCGUGGGCGCUGGAGAACUGAGGGGGGCUGCUCCUAGUACGAGAGGACCGGAGUGGACGCAUCACUGGUGUUCGGGUUGUCAUGCCAAUGGCACUGCCCGGUAGCUAAAUGCGGAAGAGAUAAGUGCUGAAAGCAUCUAAGCACGAAACUUGCCCCGAGAUGAGUUCUCCCUGACUCCUUGAGAGUCCUGAAGGAACGUUGAAGACGACGACGUUGAUAGGCCGGGUGUGUAAGCGCAGCGAUGCGUUGAGCUAACCGGUACUAAUGAACCGUGAGGCUUAACCUUACAACGCCGAAGCUGUU